GCAAUUAUACCGCGAAACUGCGAAUGGCUCAUUAUAUAAGUUAUCGUUUAUUUGAUAAUACUUUACUACUUGGAUAACCGUGGUAAUUCUAGAGCUAAUACAUGCUAAAAAUCCCGACUUCGGAAGGGUUGUAUUUAUUAGAUUAAAAACCAAUGCCCUCUGGGCUCUCUGGUGAAUCAUAAUAACUAGUCGAAUCGACAGGCCUUGUGCCGGCGAUGGCUCAUUCAAAUUUCUUCCCUAUCAACUUUCGAUGUUUGGGUAUUGGCCAAACAUGGUGGCAACGGGUAACGGAGGGUUAGGGCUCGACCCCGGAGAAGGAGCCUGAGAAACGGCUACUACAUCCAAGGAAGGCAGCAGGCGCGCAAAUUACCCAAUCCCGACACGGGGAGGUAGUGACAAUAAAUACUGAUACAGGGCUCUUUUGGGUCUUGUAAUCGGAAUGAGUACAAUUUAAAUCCCUUAACGAGGAACAAUUGGAGGGCAAGUCUGGUGCCAGCAGCCGCGGUAAUUCCAGCUCCAAUAGCGUAUAUUAAAGUUGUUGUGGUUAAAAAGCUCGUAGUUGAACCUUGGGCCUGGCUGGCCGGUCCGCCUCACCGCGUGUACUGGUCCGGCCGGGCCUUUCCCUCUGUGGAACCCCAUGCCCUUCACUGGGUGUGGCGGGGAAACAGGACUUUUACUUUGAAAAAAUUAGAGUGCUCAAGGCAGGCCUAUGCUCGAAUACAUUAGCAUGGAAUAAUAAAAUAGGACGUGUGGUUCUAUUUUGUUGGUUUCUAGGACCGCCGUAAUGAUUAAUAGGGACAGUCGGGGGCAUCAGUAUUCAAUUGUCAGAGGUGAAAUUCUUGGAUUUAUUGAAGACUAACUACUGCGAAAGCAUUUGCCAAGGAUGUUUUCAUUAAUCAGGAACGAAAGUUAGGGGAUCGAAGACGAUCAGAUACCGUCGUAGUCUUAACCAUAAACUAUGCCGACUAGGGAUCGGACGAUGUUACAUUUUUUGACGCGUUCGGCACCUUACGAGAAAUCAAAGUGCUUGGGCUUCA
rnacentral:rRNA from 1 species